CCUACGGGUGGCAGCAGUGAGGAAUAUUGGUCAAUGGACGAGAGUCUGAACCAGCCAAGUAGCGUGAAGGCGGAAUGCCCUAUGGGUUGUAAACCUCUUUUGUCAGGGAAUAAAACAUGGGAUGCAUACCCGCUUGAGUGUACCUUAUGAAUAAGGAUCGGCUAACUCCGUGCCAGCAGCCGCGGUAAUACGGAGGAUCCGAGCGUUAUCCGGAUUUAUUGGGUUUAAAGGGUGCGUAGGUGGAUUGUUAAGUCAGCUGUGAAAGUCUGGGGCUCAACCCACGAAUUGCAGUUGAAACUGGCAGUCUUGAGUAGAGUAGAGGUGGGCGGAAUUCGCGGUGUAGCGGUGAAAUGCUUAGAUAUCGCGCAGAACUCCGAUUGCGAAGGCAGCACGCUGGCCUCACACUGACACUGAUGCUCGAAAGCGUGGGUAUCGAACAGGAUUAGAUACCCUAGUAGUC
rnacentral:rRNA from 1 species